CAAACAGAGUUUCAGGUGAGAUCUGAGUUGGAUAAACAAGUGGCCCAUUUGUUGUUUUCUUCCCAGUUUCCUCGCUCUGUUUGCAUAAACAAACUCCCUCUCAGCUCCAAACGAAGUGGCACGAGCAAACAGUCGUGCAAAUUGAAAAACAACCACACAGUCACUAAAUAGUUUUUGUUCACGCUGAUAACUUUACGGUAUUUGACCAAAAUUGGCUGUGCAUAACUUCGGAAACGUUACGAGAAUGCAGCUGUAGAACCCAAAACGAUUGUCGCAAAACUGAUCUUUAAGAUUAUUAUUAAAUUGCAUGGACCUAGCAGACAACGGGAUCUAAUGUGAUAUUUCACCCUGGCCGGAUCAUCGCUGGAUUGGAACCCGCUGCCGAACUCCUACCAGAAGCUUUGUUGUUGUUGACUUUAUUGUUAUUGAAGAUUUAUCUCCUCACCUAGCUGGCUAUGUUUUGUCUACCCAAAAUCCCCACAACCCUUUUAUUUACCCAAAGUUUGUUUAGUUUUUAACCUAACGUCACCCGUCGACAACCCGCGUUAGUUAUCAAUACCAGAUCGAGCAAAACAACCAAAUAACUGGGCUCUUACAAUUCAUAAAUAACUCUGUUUUAUUUUCUGUCAAAUCCUUUUCGAGACCCAUUUUUGAGAACUCGACUUGUUUUGGGUUGUUUUCGACAAACAUUUUUGCUUAUUUUUGCUCCUUAUGCCGUUAAGGUCUUGAAGCUCUCUACCUUCGAAAAUUUGAACUCAACAUUCAGUUGAUAACAGUAAACUCUAUUUGUUUGGCAGCUUAUUUUCCAAGCUUUUCGCCGAGAAGUUAUUUAUUUUGUUCAUUGCUUUACAAAUAUUUAUGUUUGCGUUUCGUAGCUAGAAAGGGUAAACAGUUUCGACGAAAACGACAAUAAAGUAAGCUAUAUAAAUUUCCCCUUCUUUUGUCUCGCACAAGAAGUUAUUCUUCUUUUCACUGCUUGAAUUAACCGAUUGAGACUUUGGCGCUUC